rnacentral:rRNA from 1 species
GACGAACGCUGGCGGCGUGCCUAAUACAUGCAAGUCGAACGGAAAGGCCCGGCUUGCCGGCUCCUCGAGAGGCGCACGGGUGAGUAAAACGUGGGGGAUAUGUCCCGCACAUCGGGGUAAGCCUGGGGAAAUCGGUCUAAAAUAGGACAGGAGACAAUAUGUGUGAGGAGGUUGGCAAGAAUGUGCGGUGUGGGCUGAGACCGCGGGCUAUUAGCUUGUUGGUGGGGUAUUGGCCUACAACGGCGGAGGAGGGUAGCCGGCCUGAGAGGGUGGACGGCCACAAUGGGACUGAGAUACGGCCCAGACGCCUACGGGAGGCAGCAGUGGGGAAUAUUGCACAAUGGGCGCAAGCCUGAUGCAGCGACUCCGCGUGGGGGAUGACGGCCUUCGGGUUGUAAACUCCUUUCGCUAGGGACGAAGCUUUUUGUGACGGUACCUAGAUAAGAAGCACCGGCUAACUACGUG